CGGACCGAGGCUAUUUAAGGCCGCGGACGUUCUGAUUCUGCCCUUUGCACUUUGGACUUUGACGCGAGCGGACCUCACCUGUGAACCCUCCUGUGAACCCAGACCUGUGAAGGAAACUCUGAGACUUUUGCACUGCUUGACUCUUUUUGUUGGAAACAAAACUUGUUGUCUUACAGAACUCCACCAGAUCCGGACUACGAGAGACCCGAGACCCCGAGGAAGGCCCUCCGACGACCGAGAGCCGAGGACGAGCCCCUGCUGAAGCGACCGGGCUGUGAUUUGGACUAAGUGACUGACUUCCUCUCCCGCGGACCUCCGAGAAGCCGGAGAAUGGAGGACCACCCGUACGCGCUGCGCGGAGCUGGCGACUUCGUUGGAGCUCCACCGCCGCCGCCCCCCCCUCCCAGCCCCCCGGCGGCAGCCAUCGGAAUCGACUACGGAGCUGGCGGAGACUACGAUGGAGCUCCUGGCCUCCCUACGGCCAUCAGGUUAGUCCAGGAAGAUAACAUGGCGGACAUUAGGCUUCAUAAUGCGCGUGUCUCUUUGUUGCGUGUCUUUGCCCUUUUAACACCAGACGAGCUCCGGCGCCGACUCCGACACCCAGACA